rnacentral:rRNA from 1 species
UACGUAGGGACCGAGCGUUGUCCGGAAUCAUUGGGCGUAAAGAGCGUGUAGGCGGCCUUUUAAGUCCUGCGUGAAAUCCUGCGGCUCAACCGCAGACGGUCGUGGGAAACUGGAAGGCUAGAGUGCGGGAGAGGAGAGUGGAAUUCCCGGUGUAGCGGUGAAAUGCGCAGAUAUCGGGAGGAACACCAGUGGCGAAGGCGGCGACCUGGACGGACACUGACGCUGAGACGCGAAAGCGUGGGGAGCAAACAGG